AUGCAGACGCAUAUUGUCUGAGAACAUGGGUGGGAGUCAAAGCCUGAAAAACCCUCCUUUCUGGCCUUUCCUGUGUGAACAGGUCCUACUUCAGUGCAUGGAAUCACUGCUCCCAGUCAGUGAUUAAAGUCAUCACUCUUCCCUGUGAUAUGAACAUUACAGGAGAGUGUCACUUUAUAGUGUCUUUUAAGGGAUCUUCAACCCCUGGUGCAAAAAUGAGGACCAAAGAAGCAGCAAAAGAGAAGAUGAUUCAGCACUGUGCUGCUGAUAUCAGCAGAAUCAUGUUCAAAAAUCUGAGGCUGGGCAACAGAACUAUUUGUCUUCUUGCAUUCCAUGGAGCAAGCAGAUUUUCCUCUUCUCCUCAGUGUAUAAUUCAACAGUAGAGAAUAGAGAAUAUUCUGACCAGCCAGACUGAUACGGCUGAUAUACUGAGACUUCCUGACCCUUCUCCCGUCAUCAAGCCAUAACUGCACUAAAACUUGCUUGAGGUUCUGGCAGAGUCACAUCUGUUCUUUCAUCACACAUUUAUUUUCCAUGUUCCUUGAAUUUCUUCAUUUAAAAUUCCAUAAUAUCAAGUAAGAUAUAUCAUUCCUCAACCCCCCCUCUCAGCCCCCCUUUUUGAUUUCCCAGCAUGGAAGUGGAAGCAAGAAGUUAAAAACUUUGCUAACUAGCAAAAAGUGUCUCAAGAGAUGCCAGCUUUCCUUCAUUUCCAAUGAUGUACCGAGAAGAAGACAGUUUUCAAGUUCUGAGUCUAUACUGGAGCUGCUAUUGGAUUCACUGAGCUGAUGGGGACUGUUAACAGAGACAAAGGUCUGGGCCCUUUGAUUUAAGGAGCCUCCUGUUGUCACCUCUCUUACUUAAUGGAGUCCUGCCAAGACUGCCCCAAGCAGUUCUGGUUGCUCUCUUGAUUCUGCUUAAAGUGAAGGCAGCUAACAUAGGUGAGCUGUCUGGUUAUAACUUAUCUCAUCUGCUCGGAAUCAACAAAUGCAAAAGAAUUCUUCACUACAGAAAGAAGUUCUUCCAUGUUUCUUCACUGAGUAACUUGUGUUCCCUUGUCCCUUUUAAUUGUAAAGCCUGUGCUAAUAUUUGUUAUCCCAGGAUGAUGUAUACUCAUUAUCAACGAAGACAUGUAAAUAUCCUUUCACAUGCAAAGCAAUGUACGCUACAGUACUGCACAGGUAAGUGAGUAGAACAUACUCCAGUGCUACCAGGCGACAAAACAGCACUGCAUUAAGGCCAUUUAAGCUUAUGUCCUCUUCGUGAGGUGCUGCCCUCAGCAAAGCUCUGGUGUCAUAGAAGCAUUGUCCAUGCACCUCUGUGGAGCCCUGGGGCUCCAGUUUGGUCUGGAAUUUUUAGGAUAUAGUCUUACUACUUAACCAUACA
rnacentral:lncRNA from 1 species